rnacentral:tRNA from 1 species
GCACCGCUAGCUCAAUUGGUAGAGCAGCUGACUCUUAAUCAGCGGGUUGAGGGUUCGAGUCCCUCGCGGUGUACAA